rnacentral:rRNA from 1 species
AGUCAUAUGCUUAUCUCAAAGAUUAAGCCAUGCAUGUGCAAGUAGAAGCUGAAUAACGGCAAAGCCGCGAAUUGCUCAUUACAGCAGUUGUUGUUUAAUAGCGGAUGAAUUUCUUGUGGAUAACUGUGGUAAUUCUAGAGCUAAUACGUGCAUUACUGCUUCGACUUCGGUCGGAGCGCAGCUAUUAGAACAAAGCUGAACAGAACCUUCUCGUGAGGUCUGCUAUUUGAUGAAUCUGAAUAACGUUGUAGAUCGCAUGGUCAAGUACCGGCGACAUGUCUUAUAAAUGCCUGCCUUAUCAACUUUGGUUGGUAGGAUAUACGCCUACCAUGGUGAUAACGGGUAACGGAGGAUCAGGGUUCGACUCCGGAGAGGGAGCCUGAGAAACGGCUGCCACAUCCAAGGAAGGCAGCAGGCACGCAAAUUACCCAAUUUCGGAAUGAAGAGGUAGUGAUGAAAAAUAACGAGGCGGUGCUCUUUGAGACCCGUCAUCGGAAUGAUCUUGAUUUAAAACUGCUCGCAAGGAAUAAUUGGAGGGCAAGUCUGGUGCCAGCAGCCGCGGUAAUUCCAGCUCCAAUAGCUUAUAUUAAAGUUGUUGCGGUUAAAACGCUCGUAGUUGGAUCUGCUGUAAUCGGGAGCGGUGCCCCCGUUAUCGGGUGGCGAACUGUAUCUUGGGCUUCGAUGUCGGUUGAUUUGUUGGAUGCUCUUAAAAAAGUGACUAAUGUGUGCUGAAAUUUUACUUUGAACAAAAUAGAGUGCUUAAAGCAAGUGAUGUGCUUGAAUAAUAUUGCAUGGAAUAAUGGAGAAGGACCUCGGUUCUAUUUUUUUGGUUUUCGGAUCUGAGGUAAUGAUUAAAAGGAACAGUCGGGGACAUUCGUAUUGCCGCGUUAGAGGUGAAAUUCUUGGAUCGCAGUAAGACGAACAACUGCGAAAGCAUUUGUCAAGGAUGUUUUCAUUAAUCAAGAACGAAAGUUAGAGGUUCGAAGGCGUCAGAUACCGCCCUAGUUCUAACUGUAAACGAUGCCAACUAGCGAUUCGUCGAUGUUAUACUACGAUUGGACGAGAAACUUCCGGGAAACCAAAGUUAUUAGGUUCCUGGGGAAGUAUAGUUGCAAAGCUGAAACUUAAAGGAAUUGACAGAAGGGCACCACCAGGAGUGGNNGUGCGGCUUAAUUUGACUCAACACGGGAAAUCUCACCCGGCCCGGACAUUGAAAGGAUUGACAGAUCGAGAGCUCUUUCUUAAUUCGAUGGGUAGUGGUGCAUGGCCGUUCUUAGUUGGUGGAGCGAUUUGUCUGGUUAAUUCCGAUAACGAACGAGACUCUGCCGUAUUAAAUAGUGAAUGUCCAGACAAAAUGAUGGUUACUUCUUAAAAGGACAAGCGGAAAAGAACCGCACGAAAUGGAGCAAUAACAGGUCUGUGAUGCCCUUAGAUGUCCGGGGCUGCACGCGCGCUACACUGAUAAACUCAGCGCGUUUAUUUCUUCGUCUGUUGAGACGGAGUAAUCGAAUGAAAUCGUAUCAUGAUUGGAAUAAGGAAUUGAAAUUGGCAUCUUUGAACGAGGAAUUCCCAGUAAGUGCGGGUCAUGAGCUCGCGCUGAUUACGUCCCUGCCCUUUGUACACACCGCCCGUCGCUACUACCGAUUGGAUGAUUCGGUGAGGUCUUCGGACCGAUGCUUCGUGUUGAUCCCUUGCGGAUCGGCUGUUGCGUUGGAAAGUUGGCCGAACCCAACCAUCUAGAGG